rnacentral:lncRNA from 1 species
CUUUUGCCGCCUGUACCCUUCCUGGAGCAACCCGUGCUUUUGAAAAAUGACCAUGCCGAAGGGGAACUAACACUCCCAGCCUGGAGCGGGUCUUGUCAAUCUGAUUUUUAAAUGUUGGAGGAGGAGGUUUGAGGACAAAGCUCAUGGUGGCAUUACCACUAUCAGGGACGCUGCAAAGAUCAAGUGAAAAGGGGAAAAGGCUCUUCUCAGUGUGAGCACAUUCACAGGCUCUGAGGACAGAGAGGUAUUUAAAGUGAACUGGAACAAACCUGCAACAUCCGGUGCGUUCUGCCUUCAAAAAUAGCUGCCAGUUAGAAAGGGUUAUUUACAUAUUGAUUUCAUGCUAACUUUGUAAUGGAAUGUGCUGCCUGCCUGCCUGCCUGAGACCUAACAACUGUCAUCAUAAUUUUUUCUAAAAAUACAGUCAGAGAAAAACACUCAUUGAACCCUCCACUGGAAAGUAGCUGCAAAAGACCCCCUGAUCCCAAACCUGCUUGACAGACCACAGCCAAGGGCAGGGACACUCAACAACUGUAAACGAGGAACAUUUCACAGCGGCAGCUGGCCCCUCCCUUCUUCCAACCAGCCAAUAUUUUUUGUCUUUCUAGAAAACCUGUCUUGUUCAAAGGGGCCUGAUGGAGCUGAUUCGGUUGUGAUCCUGGGCAUAUGGAUGGCAUAUUUGCUGCGAGCUAGGCCGGCCCCCGCUGCUGCGGACAAAUCUUUCAUUCAUGAACAGGAGCUUGUUAGGCCAACUCCGGACUCUAAAGCCACUUAAUUAAAUUGUGGAAAGU